rnacentral:rRNA from 1 species
AUUGAACGCUGGCGGCAUGCCUUACACAUGCAAGUCGAACGGCAGCGGGGACUUCGGUCCGCCGGCGAGUGGCGAACGGGUGAGUAAUGUAUCGGAACGUACCAUUCAGUGGGGGAUAACUCUCCGAAAGGAUAGCUAAUACCGCCUAUUCUGUGAGCAGGAAAGCAGGGGAUCGCAAGACCUGGCGCUGCUUGAGCGGCCGAUACCAGUUUAGCCAGUUGGUGAGGUAACGGCUCACCAAGGCUACGAUCUGUAGCGGGGCUGAGAGGAUGAUCCGCCACACUGGGACUGAGACACGGCCCAGACUCCUACGGGAGGCAGCAGUGGGGAAUUUUGGACAAUGGGCGCAAGCCUGAUCCAGCCAUGCCGCGUGAGUGAAGAAGGCCUUCGGGUUGUAAAGCUCUUUCGGCCGGGAAGAAAUCGCAUCAGCUAAUACCUGGUGUGGAUGACGGUACCGGAAUAAGAAGCACCGGCUAACUACGUGCCAGCAGCCGCCGUAACAC